GCUGGGCAAGGUGGCGCGUGCCUGUAAUCCCAGCUACUCAGGAGGCUGAGGCAGGAGAAUCACUUGAACCCAGGAGGUAGAGGUUGCAGUGAGCCAGGAUCGCCCCAUUGCACUCCAGCCUGGGUGACAGAGUGAGACUCUGUCUCCA
ensembl:misc_RNA Metazoa_SRP Metazoan signal recognition particle RNA